UUUCCGUAGGUGAACCUGCGGAAGGAUCAUUCAUAAUAAAGUGCUUUAUGGCACUUUUUAAAAAUCCAUAUCCACCUUGUGUGCAAUGUUAGAUCUCGUCAAUCUUGGCGAGAUUUUUAUACAUCAACUCAUUCUUUAACUAAUUUGUCUGAAAAAUAUUAUGAAUACUUAGUUCAAAAUACAACUUUCAACAACGGAUCUCUUGGCUCUC
rnacentral:misc_RNA from 1 species